AGUGAACGCUGGCGGUAGGCCUAACACAUGCAAGUCGAACGGCAGCACAGUAAGAGCUUGCUCUUACGGGUGGCGAGUGGCGGACGGGUGAGGCAUACAUCGGAAUCUACUUUUUCGUGGGGGAUAACGUAGGGAAACUUACGCUAAUACCGCAUACGACCUACGGGUGAAAGCAGGGGAUCUUCGGACCUUGCGUGAUUGAAUGAGACGAUGUCGGAUUAGCUAGUUGGCGGGGUAAAGGCCCACCAAGGCGACGAUCCGUAGCUGGUCUGAGAGGAUGAUCAGCCACACUGGAACUGAGACACGGUCCAGACUCCUACGGGAGGCAGCAGUGGGGAAUAUUGGACAAUGGGCGCAAGCCUGAUCCAGCCAUACCGCGUGGGUGAAGAAGGCCUUCGGGUUGUAAAGCCCUUUUGUUGGGAAAGAAAAGCAGCAGGUUAAUACCCCGCUGUUCUGACGGUACCCAAAGAAUAAGCACCGGCUAACUUCGUG
rnacentral:rRNA from 1 species